UCAUUGGUGGUUCAGUGGAAGAAUUCUUGUCUUUCAUGUGGGAGACCUGGGUUCAAUUCCUGGCCAAUGCA
rfam:Loxodonta africana unplaced genomic scaffold scaffold_51, whole genome shotgun sequence.